rnacentral:rRNA from 1 species
GGAAUAUUGGGCAAUGGAGGAAACUCUGACCCAGCAACGCCGCGUGAAUGAUGAAGGUCUUCGGAUUGUAAAGUUCUUUUCUAAGGGAAGAAAGGUGAUAGGAGGAAAUGACUAUCAAUUGACGGUACCUUAUGAGAAAGCCACGGCUAACUACGUGCCAGCAGCCGCGGUAAUACGUAGGUGGCAAGCGUUAUCCGGAAUUAUUGGGCGUAAAGAGCGCGCAGGUGGUUAAUUAAGGCUGAUGUGAAAGCCCACGGCUUAACCGUGGAGGGUCAUUGGAAACUGGUUGACUUGAGUGCAGAAGAGGGAAGUGGAAUUCCAUGUGUAGCGGUGAAAUGCGUAGAGAUAUGGAGGAACACCAGUGGCGAAGGCGGCUUCCUGGUCUGCAACUGACACUGAGGCGCGAAAGCGUGGGGAGCAAACAG